GACGAACGCUGGCGGCGUGCUUAACACAUGCAAGUCGAACGGAAAGGCCUGCUUUCCCUUGUGGAUUGCGGGUACUCGAGUGGCGAACGGGUGAGUAACACGUGAGUUAUCUUCCCCCAACUUUGGUAUAAGCCUGGGAAACUGGGUCUAAUUCCCGAUAGGACUGCAGGGGGGUGCCGGUGGUGGAACACGAUUUUCUAGUGGUUGGGGAUGAGCUCGCGGCCUAUCAGCUUGUUGGUGGGGUAAUGGCCGACCAAGGCGGCGACGGGUAGCCGGCCUGGGAGGGUGGACGGCAACAUUGGGACUGAGAUACGGCCCAGACGCCUACGGGAGGCAGCAGUGGGGAAUAAUGAGCAAUGGGCGGAAGCCUGAUGCAGCGACGCCGCGUGGGGGAUGACGGCUUUCGGGUUGUAACCUCCUUUCGACAGCGCGGAAGCCACCUGGUUGGAAGGGUGGUGACGGUAGUGGUAGAAGAAGCACCGGCUAACUACGUG
rnacentral:rRNA from 1 species